UAUCUCUGUAGAGUCUGCAUAUCAAUAAGCGGAGGAAAAGAAACUAACUAGGAUUCCCUUAGUAACGGCGAGUGAAGCGGGAAGAGCUCAAAUUUGAAAUCUUCAAGGUUUUACCUUGACGAAUUGUAGUUUAAAGAAGUGUUUUCUGUUGGAAUUUUCGGUAAAAGUUCUUUGGAAUAAGACAUCAAUAGAGGGUGAGAAUCCCGUAUUUGACCAUUAUCUUCCAGCGUUGUGAUACACUUUCAAAGAGUCGGAUUGUUUGGGAAUGCAGUCCAAAAUGGGUGGUAAAUUUCAUCUAAAGCUAAAUAUUGGCGAGAGACCGAUAGCGAACAAGUACCGUGAGGGAAAGAUGAAAAGAACUUUGAAAAGAGAGUUAAACAGUACGUGAAAUUGUCAAAAGGGAAGCGUUUGACACCAGUGUUGUUUUCUCGAAAAUCAAUUAAAAAAGAUUGGAUUUUGUGUUGUAUUGACUUUAUCAGCUUUCUGCACUCUUUUCUUGUCUUUUUUAAUGCACUUUUCGUUUAACAAGUCAACAUCAAUUUCUUUUGUUGUAAAAGAGGUCAUUGGAAGGUGGCUUUCUUUUCGGAGAAAGUGUUUAUAGCCUUUGACUUCUGCAAUCGGAGAGAUUGAGGUCUGCAGCGUAGAUCCUUCGGGGUUAGAUGCAUUUGUGCUAAGUUAUAGCCUUUCAUAGACAACUUGUUGACUAUGAUCAGUCAUGUAGCUUACUCGCUUAUGCUAUUUUACCUACGCUUAGGAUGUUGAUCUCUCACAGUCGAGC
rnacentral:rRNA from 1 species